AAUUGAGAGAUCCGUAGAUCAGCGAAGAGUUUUCUCCCUGCCCGAUUACGAAUCCAACACGAAGAGAAAUCGCAUCCUGGUCACGUAAGCUGCCGAAAGAGUGGAGUUCUUGUCUAUCUUCAUACACCCAACUUGCCUUUUACACACCACUUUCCUCUUCAAGCUUUUGAGCACGAUGUGAUUGUUAGCUAGUUUAUUGAACUUAGAUUGAUGACACUCAUCUACAGCAAAUUGGUUUAACUUGUUGGUAGUUGUACUUUCCUCAUCGCUUCUUUAAGGAAUUUAGACGAAGUUGCCAAAAAUCGACAAAAAUGUGCAGUUGUGUCCGAUGACCCCAGUCGCUAAACAAAUAUUGCAUUUUCUCAACAAAUUACCGGAAAUGCCAUGAGUUGAAUUGUCACUACUACUACUACUACCACUAAUCCCUCAACCAAAACAAAAAUAAAAGAUAAUAAAACUUCAAAACAGAAAUUUAUUUGCUUGUUCAAGUUUUCUUGUUUGAUUUUGCAGGAGUACCCGUUGCAAAACACCAUUUCCUCCCAAUUGAAAAACUACUGAAAAUAAACCUCUAUCAUGGUAUCUAGAAAGCAGACGCUGCUUUCACCGCCCUCUAGGGCCGAGCUUUCGUUCGAGCCCGAGAUUUGGAAGCUUAUUUUCACUUCCAAGACUUGUCAAUGGAUCUAGUGCUAGGCAUCCACCUCAUACGUCUAGGCUUCCAUUGUCCCGGAGAUCAAUGCCAGCGAUGAGACUGGGCGAUCCAGACUGCCAGCUCCAGAGCCGUUAGGAACCAGUCCGUCUGUCGUCGUCGUCGUCGUGGUCCUGGGUUCGUGCAAUUCUAAGCUCAUGCACUCUGAUGCAUGAACUGCCACUACGGGCUCUGACCACAUCCUUCCGCGCCGUGCUGCUUUGCUUGCUUGUUCACGCUCCCAGCCGCUUGGUUCGAUUCCUGGUUCGACGAGCGUGUUGGCAUUCGCAUCCUACUUCAUCGCCGCGCUGCUCCUGCUCCUCCCUCUCCCUGGUCCUCACUAUUGGGUUUACGGGCUCUUGUUGUGGCCCCGGCUUCGCCUAGCCUUUGACGAGACUGAAAGGUGCCCAUUUCGGUGAUGUUGAGUAAGUGGGGCCUUGAUAUUCACCGCGGCACAGUUUUCUUACUCACUGUUGGAGCUUAGCAGAAUGUUCACUUGAGAGAGCUCAGGAGUGAUCUCCCUUUCUUUCUCUCUCUCGCUCAUGACUCUAGCCUUCACUUUGU
rnacentral:lncRNA from 1 species